rnacentral:rRNA from 1 species
AUUGAACGCUGGCGGCAGGCUUAACACAUGCAAGUCGAGCGGGGAAGGGUAGCUUGCUACCUGACCUAGCGGCGGACGGGUGAGUAAUGCUUAGGAUUCUGCCUAUUAGUGGGGGACAACAUUCCGAAAGGAAUGCUAAUACCGCAUACGCCCUACGGGGGAAAGCAGGGGAUCUUCGGACCUUGCGCUAAUAGAUGAGCCUAAGUCAGAUUAGCUAGUUGGUGGGGUAAAGGCCUACCAAGGCGACGAUCUGUAGCGGGUCUGAGAGGAUGAUCCGCCACACUGGGUCUGAGACACGGCCCAGACUCCUACGGGAGGCAGCAGUGGGGAAUAUUGGACAAUGGGCGCAAGCCUGAUCCAGCCAUGCCGCGUGUGUGAAGAAGGCCUUUUGGUUGUAAAGCACUUUAAGCGAGGAGGAGGCUACUUGGAUUAAUACUCUAGGAUAGUGGACGUUACUCGCAGAAUAAGCACCGGCUAACUCUGUGCCAGCCGCCGCGGUAA